rnacentral:rRNA from 1 species
GAAACUUAAAGGAAUUGGCGGGGGAGCACUACAACCGGAGGAGCCUGCGGUUUAAUUGGACUCAACGCCGGACAUCUCACCAGCACCGACAGUAGCAGUGACGGUCAGGUUGAUGAUCUUACCUGAGCUACUGAGAGGAGGUGCAUGGCCGCCGUCAGCUCGUACCGUGAGGCGUCCUGGUAAAGUCAGGCAACGAGCGAGACCCGCAUCCCUAGUUGCCAGCAGCACGCUUGUCGUGGCUGGGUACACUAGGGAGACUGCCACUGCUAAAGCGGAGGAAGGAACGGGCAACGGUAGGUCAGUAUGCCCCGAAUGUGCUGGGCAACACGCGGGCUACAAUGGCCAGGACAGUGGGAAGCCACCCCGAGAGGGGGCGCUAAUCUCCGAAACCUGGUCGUAGUUCGGAUUGCGGACUGAAACUCGUCCGCAUGAAGCUGGAUUCGGUAGUAAUCGCGUGUCAGAAGCGCGCGGUGAAUACGUCCCUGCUCCUUGCACACACCGCCCGUCAAAGCACCCGAGUGAGGUCCGGAUGAGGCCAUCAUGCGAUGGUCGAAUCUGGGCUUCGCAAGGGGGCUUAAGUCGUAACAA